UACGGAGGGUGCGAGCGUUAAUCGGAAUAACUGGGCGUAAAGGGCACGUAGGUGGGCAUUUAAGUGAGGAGUGAAAUCCCCGGGCUUAACCUGGGAAUAGCAUUUCAGACUGGUAGUCUAGAGUACUGUAGGGAAGGGUAGAAUUCCACGUGUAGCGGUGAAAUGCGUAGAGAUGUGGAGGAAUACCGAAGGCGAAGGCAGCCCCUUGGCAAUGUACUGACGCUGAUGUGCGAAAGCGUGGGGAGCAAACAGG
rnacentral:rRNA from 1 species